CGCUUUCGGCUUCGUAGGUGACCUGCGGAAGGAUCAUUA
rnacentral:rRNA from 1 species